UUGACCACAGCUCUAAAACACCUCAUCGUGUAGGUGGGGAACUUGUCAUAGGAACUCAGAUGGUAGGACCCGUUGGCUGGUUACUGCUAGCCCUUGCCAGCUUUGUCCUCACUGGCUGCCAACACCCCCCGCCCCCGGGACCCUGCUACAGACACCAGGUACUCCUAUUUAGAGCUGGUCAUGGAUAAGGAAAAGGCAGAUUUGGCCACAGGAUCUCAAAACAUAGAGCCACUUUAUGUAGAAAAAUCUCUUGAACCUAUCAGGAGUACCAGUUGAGCAAAAAGUGACUCAUGAUUAGAUAUAUCUGAGGAUGGCAAAGGGGCAAGUGAGAGAAGCUGGAUUAAGUUAUCCCCCAGUGAAGAAUAUUACUUGUGUUAACAAAGUGUAAAUUUUCUGACACGUGACUUGCAAAGGAAAAUGUGAUUGAUUAGCUGAAGAACUCCCGAAGAUUGUAGCAAAUCUUUAAUAGUGUAAUAACCUUUGAAGAUUUUUUGAAGGAACACAUACAGAAGAAGAGGAAGAAAGUUCUCCCAAGUUUGACUCAGAAAACUUCUGAAAGAAUUCCCUACAUAUGCUGCCUCUGCUGAUUUCCUCCUGGAUUCUCAACAAAACUGAGGCCGAUCUCUAUACCUUAUCACAUAACCAUGGGACUGGAAAUGCUUCCUCAGAGCCCUGACUAAUGGAUGUGAAACUGCUGGCAUGGACACUAUCCAGGAUGUCCAGUAAGUACUGUCAUUUCUAACAAGUAAACAUAACAACAUCGCAAACAAGCAAUAAAUCAAAGAAGAUGGCUCUCUCUAUUUAUAAGCACUAAAAUGUAACAUUCCCCUUUGUAGAUUUCUGGAAAGAGUUUGCAGACAUAAAGCAAGCACUCAUCAGUAAAGUUCUUAUUUUAACCAAAUUAUCUGCCCAGAUGGAAGUUUUAUUUUGUUUGAGUGGGCAUGUGACAGUAUCACUCUGAAAUGAUGGUGCUGGUUCUGGCAUAUUGCAUCUGGAAGAGAUGUAAUGAGUAUUAUUGUAUUUCUUUGAAAAUACAUCAUUAUGCAAAAAUUAUCUCUUGGAAUAAAAUUUCUUAUGUUUGGUAAAAGUCCAAGAGAGAAGAUUUUAAAUUCCAAGCAUGAAUAUUAUCCCAAUGUGAGUUAUUAAUUAGAAGGCAAGUUUUCCUCAUGAGCAUUCUGAGUUUAAAUAUGUUAUUUACAAGUAUAAUAGGCAAAUGAAACCAUUUAAAAAUUAGCGGAAUGUGUCUCUCCAAUUCUAUCCUAGCUUGAUUCUCUCAUGCUUAUUUCACCCCCAUGAGAGCUCACAGCAAGACCUUGCUGUUUGACAUUUCAUUUAGUUUCAAAAAUUGGCUAAAAGGGAAUCAAAUCUAUGUAUUCAUACAUAUGAAUGACAUGUUUCAGGCCACCCAGUGUAGACUGUUAUGGCUCUCUCUCAAUAUUCAUGACUCCAGUCAGGAUCAUGAUGGACAUGCCCAAGUUCAGAUUGAUUGAAAGUAGCAUGAAUAUAGAAGGACUAGAAUUGGGGAGGGGGAGUGUUGAGUCUAGAUUUCCUAUUACAAUUUGAACAAUAAAAAUUUGAUUGUCUUGGAUGCUUCUGAAAACUUCCCACCAAAAUAUAUCUAAAUAGAACUGGAGUGUGAAUUUGUAACAUGAAGUGUAGAUGUUUAGUCCAAAUGCAAAAUAUCCUUAAAGACCUUAUUUUGAAAUUCACCUUUUAUCCUCUAUAAUAUAUGCUUGGUUGAAUGUAAAAACAUAGAUGUAGCACAAAUACCAGUUAAAACCAUUGCAGUCUCAUUCAAAUCAUUUAGAACAAUCAACACUCAAGACUUGAGCACCAGAACAGGAGAGAGGAUGAGCUCCUGAGUUGAACUACGUUUAAGAAAGAGAGUUAGAGACCGGUGAAAGGCAGUCAGAGAGAUAAGGGGCACAAUUGAGAAUGGAUUACCAGAAGACAAGAGAAGAGACCAGUCAACAAUAUCAGAUAAGUCGGAGAAAGUGAGAAAGGCAUGGACAUGAGCUGACACGAGGCCACUGAACUUGAUGAUGGAGAUAUCAUUAGGGCUUGUAGAGACAGACAGCUGUUUCUGAAGAAUGAUUUGAGGGAGAGAAAUGUCAGUGGCUUACAGAAGAGGUGGAGAUCAGUUGGCCCCUUUCUAGUGAGGGUUGAAGAUGAGAAGGAGGCAAAGAGGAGAGAAAGAAGGAGAGAUACAGCCAAUUAUUUGCAUUUUUAUAUUUGUAGCAAACAACUAGAAAAGAUGAAGAUAAGUCAUUGAUAAUAGUCUAGUAUCAUAUAAAAUACCAGAAAAAUGUCUAGCAAAAAUAUGCAGGAUAUUUACCAAUAUAUUGAUCUCUCCCUAGAGUCAAGUAUCAGUAUUCUGUGUUCUUUAUUUAAACUCAUAAGAUGAUUCUAACAUUUAUAUAGAAGAUAUACUCAAAAGGAAUAAUAAAAUGAUGACAAGAAAGGCAAUACAUUUUUUGAUUACUUUUGGUUUCUCCAUAGAGAAAAUGGCCAUGUCACCUGGUGGGAAGGUGGGAAGGCAACUGCCUGUCUUUUUCCACCUGCAGUAAUAACCCAGCUGCCUUACUGAUAUGUGUCAAGGACAUCUUGAGACAUCCUCCAAUUCCUCAGGCAAUUUCUCCAUUGAAUAUAGCCACUAUAAGACAGUGCACCAAAAUAGACGAGGGUGUAGUCAUGGGAGCUUGUUUCCUUGAGAAGGUGAGUCAGGAAGCUCCCAGGACGGAAGACCUUCUGGGGAGAUGGCCCAGUACAAUCUAGGGUCAAUAGUCUCAGCUACUUGGGAAUCACCCUCUGAUGUGGCCAAGUGAGGCUUUUAGAUAAAAGGGUAGUCAUAAGCAUUGAGAAAAAUACUUUAGAGCUCCAUGUGAAAAACAAAUCCUUUCUCUGGUGUCGUUUGGGUUUGGCAGUAUAGUUAUUAGAAAUUCUGUCUGGGGCUUCUGUUCUUUCCUGCUCUCGGCCCUUCAGCAUAUGAAACCAGCAUACCAGAUGACCACGUAUGAUCCAGUGUUGUCAAAGGAGAAGCUGAGGAGGUGUUAGACUUCUUGGAUGCAAGUGGAGGCUGGAGUUGGCUACUAUUGGAUGUGCUGAGUGUAGUUCAACACCAUCUGAUGGUGUCAUGAUGAUACUGGAGGCGGGCAGGGAAGUGCUGGGAGGAGAAGGGUGGGUCCCUGGUGAGGGCUCCAGUCCUGGGCCUGUGCCCAGGGACAUAGGUAGGGACAGACACUCCUGCCUUACCGUCCAAAUGUUGCAUUUCCCAAGACCACCCUGGCCCACCAUGCCCCAUCCUGUGCCUGUAAAAACCCCGAGACACGAGCACAGACACGAGCAGCUGGACACUGAGAGGAACACACCAGCGGAAGAAAACACAAGCGGCUGGAUGUCGAGAGGAAUGCAUCAGCAUAAGAACACACCAACAGUGCCGGAACACUGGCAGGCCAUCGACUGGCAGAACGACACUAAGUUUGACCAGGAUGGUCGGAGGAGAGCCCGGCCACUGAGCAGCCCGACUCGAGGGGAAAACCACAUUCCCACUCCAUCUCCCUUCUGGCUCCCCCAUGGGCUGAGGGCUCUUUCCACUGAAUAACACCUUGCACUCAUUCUCCAAGCCCAUGUGUGAUCUAAGUUUUCUGGUACACCAAGGCAGGAACCCCGGGAUACAGAAAGCUCUCUGUCCUUGUGAUAAGCCAGAGGGUCUAAUUGAGCUGGUUUACACAAGCCGCCUACAGAAGGCAGAACUAAAAGAGCACCUUGUAACACACACCCACUGGGACUUCAGGAGCUGUAAACAUCCACGCCUAGACACUGCCAUGGGGUUGGAGACCCACAACCUGCCCGUCUGCAUGCUCCCCCUAGAGGUUUGAGCAGCGGGCCACCAAAAAAGGCAGCCACACCCGCCGUCGCUCGCCCUGCGAGGGGCACAAGGGAAUUUUUCCUUUCAAUGAGGCCAAGAUUUCUUUUUUUCUUUAGCCAAUUAAUUUGCUUAAUAUUAGAUAAUAAUGCUAUGUAAACCAUAUAAUGUUAGAAUAAUCUAUUCAUACAGUUUUAAAAUAACACAGGUAGGAUUGAUCUUUGUUGCUGGUGCAUCCAUUGUGUUGCUGGUGCAUCCAUUGUGUUGCUCUGCUUACAGCGCUGACUGUUCCCUCUCAAGCUUUGAUCAUGCUCAAUCUCAGCACAUUUGCAUCAUUCUCAUUUUCCGUCUUCUGGCAGAUAUGUUGAUGACGAACCAUAUUUUAGUCAUCCCUUCGCCCCAACAACUAAUAUAAACCCUGUCCCAGAUUGUGCUUAGUAAAUCUUGCUGCGUGGCUGAAUGAAUGAAUGAAAUCCAAAGCUCAGUACUGAGAAGUAGCGGCUAUAAUUUAACAAGCUUCUGACUUAAAAAGACUCUCUUCUCUCUGUCCUGUUCAAAGUCACGGUUUUAAAACAUCUAUAUUCUUUAUACCUCUGUCCUCCCUCCAAAAUCUUGCAGAGAGGAAGGUGGGAGGUCAGAUAAUGGAUAUUUUCUUUGCUGUGUGAAAUGGGUUAGACUCUCACUGGGCACACAGGCAAUCCCAAGACCUUUCAAUCACCCCAUAACUAUCACCGGGCACGGGAAAUACGAGUGUGUUCUUGCCACACACUCCAUUUAAUGCAUGCCUUCCAUGAACACUUGCCAUGAGCCCAGUUUCUUGCUUGGUUCAAGGAAUACAAAGCUGAAUAGUGGCGGCCUUCUCACUGAGACCUCCUCAAAUCUCUCCUACAAAGCACCGGCAGCUUUCUCAUAAAGAACAGCAGAAACUGUGUGUAUGGGAGGAUGAGAGAGGGAGUCAUAGGGGGAGAAAAAGUUUCUGAUGGAGUUUUGAUAGGUGGCAAGAAGAGAAAAAAAAAACUCCCUCCCCAAAAUGCAGAGGCAAAGAGGAGCCUCAUGCUAGGGGUUGGUUAGGGAGUAAUUUUAUAGUUUUUAAAAAUAAUUUUAGAAAGACUACUAUGGCAAAGAGGCUAGGGCAUAAAGCAGUGGGAAGAGAGUAGAGACAACUAUACUUCCCCUGCAGGGGUGUGUGUGUGUGUGUGUGUGUGUGUGUGUGUGUCUGUCUGUGUACAAGGGUGGGAGCAAUUCUUUGAUUCUUUCAGUUCAUUCACUUCUCAGCUAACAAGCUAAAAAGUUUCUGUUUCUAGUUUUGUAUUUUUGUAUCCUCAGGUGAGGUUUCUGCAAGUCAAACCCUUAUGGCUGAAUUUUAUGUUUGAAUACAUUUUCCCACUUGGCACAGCUUGGCACAUCUUGAUCUCUACUUUCAUUGAGAAUCAUAACUGUAUUAGAAGAAGGAAGACAUUUUUAUAUUUGUAGCAAACAAUUAGAAAAGGGGAAGAUAAUAUAUAUACUUAAAGUGGAUGUAUUUAUAUAUAUUUAAAGUGGAUACCAUAGGCUCAUACACGUAGAAGGCUCUCAAUAAACUUGAUGGUGGUCCAACCAA